rnacentral:lncRNA from 1 species
AAAGCUCACAAGUACAAUUAGCUCAUUAUCCAUUUCCUUGACUUGUCCCCAAUAGUCUCUCUACUCUUUGUCAUCACUCUCCCACUCAAAUAGCCAUUUAUCCUUCUGCUUAUAUGGUUCCCAUCACACAACUACCUAAAUUUUCCUUGAAUUUCAGCAUAAUUACCAUGGCAUCUCCUAUUUCAUAACCCAUAUGUUACCUCAUCCUUAGUGUACAUAGUGAGCCCUUUUAGCCACUAAUUUGCAGGUUAAAACACCAUCCCAACACAAUAACCAUCUGCUACAUAUUCUCGAUUUUUAACCUUACCAUUUGCAGUUCCAUCUUUCACAUUCUGGUUUACAUAUUUUAGGGUAUUUUUGCUCACUCUUCAACCUAUGUUCAACUUAAUUUUUCCCACUCAUAGUCCCUAAAUGCUCAUUUUCUUCUACUUAAU